rnacentral:misc_RNA from 1 species
GAUGAAAAACGCAGCGAAAUGCGAUAAGUAGUGUGAAUUGCAGAAUUCAGUGAAUCAUCGAAUCUUUGAACGCACAUUGCGCCCUUUGGUAUUCCUUAGGGCAUGCCUGUUCGAGCGUCAUUUAAACCUUCAAGCUCAGCUUGGUGUUGGGUGACUGUCCGCUUCACCGCGGACUCGCCUCAAAAUUAUUGGCGGCCGGUACAUUGGCUUCGAGCGCAGCAGAAACGCGAACUCGGGCCCGUCGUAUUGGCUCCCAGAAGCUAUCUUCACAAUUUUGACCUCGGAUCAGGUAGGGAUACCCGCUGAACUUAAGCAUAUCAAUAAGCGGAGGA